rnacentral:lncRNA from 1 species
GCCUGCAGGAGCUGGUGCUCUCUGGCUGCUCCUGGCUCUCUGUCUCUGCCCUGGGCUCAGCCCCACUGCCAGCCCUGCGGCUCCUGGACCUCCGCUGGAUCGAGGAUGUUAAAGACUCCCAGCUCCGGGAGUUGCUGCUGCCUCCACCAGACACCAAACCAGGGCAAACAGAGAGCCGUGGUCGGCUGCAGGGGGUGGCAGAACUGCGUCUGGCAGGUUUGGAGCUGACAGAUGCCUCCCUGCGUCUCCUGCUGCGUCACGCACCCCAGCUGAGCGCCCUGGACCUGAGCCACUGCGCCCACGUCGGGGACCCCAGUGUUCACCUCCUCACGGCCCCCACGUCCCCACUCCGCGAGACCCUGGUGCACCUCAAUCUUGCUGGCUUCAGUUCCUUCCCCCUGACCCUGACUCCUUGAACGUCACUGAAAACGGCAGCUAUUGCAAGGAGUGGGGGCCGCGGGCAGCCGCUCUUCAGCUCGCGGCCCAGGGGAGUGGCGAGGGGCGCCCCAACCCCCUGCCCGCCUCUCCGCACAAUACUUGAACAUU